rnacentral:rRNA from 1 species
AACGAACGCUGGCGGCAUGCCUAACACAUGCAAGUCGAACGAGACCUUCGGGUCUAGUGGCGCACGGGUGCGUAACGCGUGGGAACCUGCCCUUAGGUUCGGAAUAACUCCCCGAAAGGGGUGCUAAUACCGGAUAAUGUCUUCGGACCAAAGAUUUAUCGCCUUUGGAUGGGCCCGCGUUGGAUUAGCUAGUUGGUAGGGUAAAAGCCUACCAAGGCGACGAUCCAUAGCUGGUCUGAGAGGAUGAUCAGCCACACUGGGACUGAGACACGGCCCAGACUCCUACGCGAGGCAGCAGUGGGGAAUAUUGGACAAUAGGCGAAAGCCUGAUCCAGCACUGCCGCGUGAGUGAUGAAGGCCUUAGGGUUGUAAAGCUCUUUUACCCGGGAUGAUAAUGACAGUACCGGGAGAAUAAGCUCCGGCUAACUCCGUG